rnacentral:rRNA from 1 species
GGCGAACCUUGCAAACGUUAUUCGGAAUUACUGGGCGUAAAGAGCUCGUAGGUGGUUUGUCGCGUUGUCCGUGAAAACUCACAGCUUAACUGUGGGCGUGCGGGCGAUACGGGCAGACUGGAGUACUGCAGGGGAGACUGGAAUUCCCAGUGUAGAGGUGAAAUUCGUAGAUAUUGGGAAGAACACCGAUGGCGAAGGCAGCCAUCUGGACCGACACUGACGCUGAGGCGCGAAAGCGUGGGGAGCAAACAGG